AGCGUCCCGCCCUCCUCCGGCGGAGUCAGUGGGUAGGGGUCGGGCUUGAAGCCAUAGCUGCGGGACGGUACUCGUCUCCCCCGACGCAGACCAUGGAGAGCGCGCUGGCGGUGCCCCCGCUGCCCCCGCAUGAUCCAGGAACGCCGGUGCUGUCGGUGGUGGACAUGCACACGGGCGGCGAGCCCUUGCGUAUCGUGCUGGCGGGGUGUCCGGAGGUGUCUGGGCCCACCCUGCUGGCCAAGCGGCGCUACAUGCGCCAGCACCUUGACCACGUGCGGCGACGGCUCAUGUUCGAGCCCCGAGGGCACCGGGACAUGUACGGGGCGGUCCUAGUCCCGAGCGAGCUGCCGGACGCGCAUCUCGGCGUCCUGUUCCUGCACAACGAGGGCUACAGCUCCAUGUGCGGCCACGCAGUGCUGGCGCUGGGCCGCUUCGCUUUGGACUUCGGGCUUGUGCCGGCGCCCGCUGCGGGCACCCGCGAGGCCCGCGUCAACAUCCACUGCCCCUGCGGGCUGGUGACCGCCUUCGUGGCAUGCGAGGACGGCCGCAGCCACGGACCGGUGCGCUUCCACAGCGUCCCGGCCUUCGUGCUGGCCACAGGUAAUGGGCGGGACCUUUCCAGCCCAGGGCAGAGCUGCAACCGGGACGCGACUAACUACAUUAACGGUUUUUCUGGGCUGGAACUCUGGCAACUAACCUACUCCGCGAACCCUUGCAAUUAAUAGAUCUCAUGGUGGAUGUUCCUGGACAUGGAAAGGUGAUGGUGGACAUUGCAUAUGGCGGUGCAUUUUAUGCAUUUGUUACUGCUGAAAAGUUAGGACUAGACAUUUGUUCUGCAAAGACCAGGGACCUUGUGGAUGCAGCGAGUGCAGUGACAGAGGCAGUGAAAGCUCAGGUCAGUAAUACUCUGCCUUCAUAACCAAUUCCUUUCUCUGUGGCAUGGAGGAAAUAUACAUUAUUAUGUCUAUAAAGAAAAUUAAAUGAUGUUUAAAUUAUUAAUAGUACUAAGAAUAGGGUACUUAUUAAAAUCUUAGGCUCUAGAGCAAGCUUGUCCCACCCGUGGGCUGUGAGCCACAUGCAGCCCAGGAUGGCUUUGAAUGUGGCCCAACACAAAUUUUGUAAACUUUCUUAAAACAUUAUGAGUUUUUUUGCAAUUUUUUUUUAGCUCAUCAGCUCUCGUUAGUGUUAGUGUAUCUUAAGUGUGGCCCAAGACAAUUCUUCUCCCAGUGUGGCCCAGAGAAGCCAAAAGAUUGGACAUCCCUGCUCUAGAGCAAAACUAUCUAUGAGUUCUAGCUUUACCACUGGUAACGUAUAUAACCUUGGGCAAGUUACGUAACCUCCAUAUGCCUCA
rnacentral:sRNA from 1 species